GCGGCGCGAGCAGAGAGGCGCU
rnacentral:miRNA from 1 species